rnacentral:rRNA from 1 species
CCCUUAGAUGUCCUGGGCCGCACGCGCGCUACACUGAUGCAUUCAACGAGUAUUUCCUUGGCCGAGAGGCCUGGGCAAUCUUUUAAACCUGCAUCGUGAUAGGGAUAGAUUAUUGCAAUUAUUAAUCUUGAACGAGGAAUUCCUAGUAAACGCAAAUCAUCAAUUUGCAUUGAUUACGUCCCUGCCCUUUGUACACACCGCCCGUCGCACCUACCGAUUGAAUGUUCCGGUGAGCUCUUCGGACUGCGCGGUCUGCAGUUUCUGCGUUCCGUGCGGAAAGUUGCGCAAACCUUAACAUUUAGAGGAAGGAGAAGUCGUAACA